rnacentral:lncRNA from 1 species
CUUGUCUUUCUAGUAGUGGAAACAGUCAUCGACCCUUUCACCCGAAACCAUGAACUGUGUUAUAAUAUUAAUAUCAAAAGUUUUUAGAAUAUAAAUAAAAACUUUUAGUAUGAUCACGAACAAAAUCUAGCACACAAAAUUCCAUUUUCUUUCAAUGCACCUUUCACAAUUAGCCAAGCUUCUUGCAAAUACUUCCCUGCAUACACAACAUCAUUGUGUUACCUGUUGUUUCUUUUUUAAUAAACUGCUUUCUUUUUUUCCUAUUAACUGUUGUCUGAAUGACUAAAAUGAUAAAAUGUUAUGUACAUAAAUUUUAUUUCUUUUGAUACCAAGUAAGCUGUCUAUAGAGAUAAAAUGACCAUUUUCCACUAUAAUUCCAAAAAAAAAGACAAAUUUCAUAAUAGUCAGCAAGUUUACUUGGGCGAAGUUGGGACAAAAAAAAAGGAGAAAAAGGUAAAGAGUUAGUGACUUAAUGCAUUAAGCUAUUUUGUCCAGAUUAAGUCAAAAGGAGACAACCCCUUAUUCCAGUAAGCUAUAUUUUGCCCUAUAUAGUACAUUUCAAGCACCAUAAUAAUCAACAAGACAAUCUUUUUAUAUCUUUUACCCAAAGAAAAUUGUUUAUCAAACAUGAAUGUUAAUCAAAUGGUCAACAAAUAUUAGCUAAGAACGAUAUCUUUUUAUGCAUAACAGAAGCAACUAUAAGAGAAGUCUUUAUUUGAAUUUUCUCUAAUGAAUAUUAUGAAAUUUGACUAAAGAGUCCUUACCUUAAGCAUUAUCUUUAGCUCCAAAAACAGCAGAACCAGCAACCAACGAAUUAGCACCCGACUCAAUAACUUGUCAUGAAAUGUGGAAUGUUCUAAAAUUGUUCAUUGGCGUUACAAAGCAGAAGGAAAAAAUGUUCAUUUACAGACAAAAGAAAGUGAAGAUAACCUGUACUGAAGCAAAACUUGAUUUGUUGUCAAGUUCAUGUUCAUACAUAUUUGAAAGGCAAUUCCAAGGUGAAAUUGAUUUAAAAUAACUUAGAAAAUCAGAAAACCAAACCCUUUCCUAUAGAUUUCGGAGACAAUUUCAAGCUUAAUUUGAUUUUAUAUAAUCAAAAAUGAAACAUACCAAGGCGGAUGCAGGCAAAGGGCGGCGGUGGAGGUGGGUGCCGUUGAAAGCAUGUUGAUUCCAGGAAAAAAAAACUCUUGAUACUGUGUCGAUUCCUCACCAACGCUCGCUACUGUUGGUGUCACGGGUUCCUCUUGAAAAGCCCUAAAACAGAAACCAUUUUCAACCUUAGUCGUUGUUGGGAAAACCAUUAAAAGUGUCGAUAGUGGGAGAGUGCUUCAAUCUUGAAGAAAGCAACGAAGAUUAUCGGUGGAGGAAGUGGGUGUUUUUUGGUAGUCGGAUGGGUUUGAGGGAAAUUGAUUGAGGGAAAGCGGUGGAUCAGAAAGGAUUAGAAACGAAGAUGUAUGUUUAAUGCACCGAACCUACGCGUGUGGGGAUAGAUGACCA